GAUGAUGACCGGAAGUGAGCAUGAUGCUUGAGCACACCAGCACAAUCGAGACUCUGGACACCCAAAAAUCCAAAAUUAGUAGAACUUGAACUUGAAGUGUCAUUUACUACUUUCAUCCAGACAACAAGUUUUAAGAAAUUUCUGGUAAAACAAUAAUAUCUUCAAUAAUUGCGUGACUUGCACGAGAAUAUACCUCUUAAUUGUUAAAAAUGAUAAUUGUGUUUCAGACUUCUAACAUACGAAAAAAAAUCUGUAACCAAAAUCCUAUAACCCAACAAAAUUAGUUUGAAAGCCCAAACGAAAUUAGUAAACAGCCCAAACAUCAUACCACGCGUUGCGCUCAAUGUCAACU
rnacentral:lncRNA from 1 species